UAUCUUUGUGUACAAUUAAACUAAAAAUAUUUUUGGGAGUAUCAUUAGCAAGACCGAGGAAGGAUGGGUCAUAUUGCCCACACUUGAGCCGGUGUAGGGGUGGAGUGUGAUUUGGGAUGAAAUUUAAAUAUUGGUGAAAUUGUGAUUAUUCCCCCAAGGCAGGAUGAAACUAAUACUUGUGAAUUGGAAAAGAAAAAGCCAACCCACACGGCACAUGUAGGAAGGUGGCCUAGCUGAUCGGGUAGAGAUCAGACUCAAUGUUGCACACAUGGUGGUACUACUCUUGAGAUAACUUUCUUUCGCAUCAUAAUGUCAAACCACAUUGUACGUGGUGAGAUGUCCUAGCCGAUCGGACAUGAUCG
rnacentral:lncRNA from 1 species